rnacentral:tRNA from 1 species
UACGGACUUAAAAAAUCCGUCGAUUUCAAAAAUCAUGAGGGUUC